GAUGAACGCUGGCGGCGUGCCUAAUACAUGCAAGUCGAGCGCACAGGCGAGGUGCUUGCACCAAUGACAUGAGCGGCGGACGGGUGAGUAACGCGUGGAUAAUCUACCUAUAAGAGUGGGACAACUUCGGGAAACCGAAGCUAAUACCGCAUAAAAUCUUGAAACGCAAGGUUCAAGAGUGAAAGACGGAAUUGCAGUAACCAAUAGAGGGAUCCCCGCCGCAUUAGCUGGUUGGUAAGGUAACGGCCUACCAAGGCAACGAUCCGUAGCCGACCGGAGAGGGUGAUCGGCCACACUGGAACUGAGACACGGUCCAGCCUCCUACGGGAGGCAGCAUUAGGGAAUCUUCCGCAAUGGGCGAAAGCCUGACGGAGCAACGCCGCGUGAGUGAUGAAGGUCUUCGGAUCGUAAACCUCUUUUAUUAGGGAAGACCAAAUUUGUAAGUAACUAUUCACGUCUUGACGGUACCUAAUCAGAAAGCCACGGCUAACUACGUG
rnacentral:rRNA from 1 species